GCAAGUCGAACGGUGAAAGCGGAGCUUGCUCCGCUGGAUCAGUGGCGAACGGGUGAGUAACACGUGGGCAACCUGCCCCUGACUUUGGGAUAACUCCUCGAAAGAGGAGCUAAUACCGGAUACGAACUCCUUGGGCAUCCUUGGAGUUGGAAAGUUUUUCGGUCAGGGAUGGGCCCGCGGCCUAUCAGCUAGUUGGUGAGGUAACGGCUCACCAAGGCUGCGAUGGUUAGCUGGUCUGAGAGGAUGAUC
rnacentral:rRNA from 1 species